UACGGGGGGAGCAAGCGUUGUUCGGAUUUACUGGGCGUAAAGAGCUCGUAGGCGGUCUGUCGCGUCGGAUGUGAAAACUCGGGGCUCAACCCCGAGCCUGCAUUCGAUACGGGCAGACUAGAGUUCGGUAGGGGAGACUGGAAUUCCUGGUGUAGCGGUGAAAUGCGCAGAUAUCAGGAGGAACACCGGUGGCGAAGGCGGUUCUCUGGGCAUUACCUGACGCUGAGGAGCGAAAGUGUGGGGAGCGAACAGG
rnacentral:rRNA from 1 species